GAAGCUUGAGGCCGGUGGCAUGAUCCAGUUCAUCAUGCGAGCUGACCAAGCUAUGCCUGGGCCUCUACCAGGUCCCAUCUUGGGUCAGCAAGGUAUCUCUAUCAGCCAGUUUUGCAAAGAGUUCAACAAGAAGGCAAAGGGCAUCAAAGAAGGCAUUCACCUGCCUACAAAAUUUUUACAAAGCCGGAUAAAACAUUUGAGUUCAAGGUUGGGCAGGCCACUAUUGACUACUUUUUGAAGGCAGCUAUUGGGAUGGAAUAAGGGGCCUGGUAAACAGUUAAAGAGGUGGCAGGCCUGGUGAGUUUGAAGCACAUAUAUGAGAUUGCCUGUGUCAAAGCUAAGGAUGAUGCUUUUGCCAAGCAAGAUGUACCUCUGUCUUCUGUGGUCUGUUCUUUCAUUGGCCCUGCCUGCUCCCUGGGCAUUCCUGUGGUGAAGGGCCCCAGUGAAGAAGAACUGGCAGCUUGCCAGUAGGAAUGAGCCGUGUUUAUGGCUGCUCAGAAAAAGCCAGAUUUGGCAGCCCAGGCCAAAGAAG
rnacentral:lncRNA from 1 species